AACGAACGCUGGCGGCAGGCCUAACACAUGCAAGUCGAACGCCCCGCAAGGGGAGUGGCAGACGGGUGAGUAACGCGUGGGAACCUACCUUGUGGUACGGAACAACCAAGGGAAACUUUGGCUAAUACCGUAUGAGCCCGAGAGGGGAAAGAUUUAUCGCCAUAAGAUGGGCCCGCGUAGGAUUAGCUAGUUGGUGAGGUAAAGGCUCACCAAGGCGACGAUCCUUAGCUGGUCUGAGAGGAUGACCAGCCACACUGGGACUGAGACACGGCCCAGACUCCUACGGGAGGCAGCAGUGGGGAAUAUUGGACAAUGGGCGCAAGCCUGAUCCAGCCAUGCCGCGUGUGUGAUGAAGGCCUUAGGGUUGUAAAGCACUUUCGCCGAU
rnacentral:rRNA from 1 species